GACGAACGCUGGCGGCGUGCCUAAUACAUGCAAGUCGAACGCAGUGGGGACGGGUGAGUAACACGUGGGUAACCUCCCAUCAGAGGGGAUAACACUUGGAAACAGGUGCUAAACCGAUACUGUUGGAUGGACCCGCGGUGCAUUGGCUAGUUGGUGAGGUAACGGCUCACCAAGGCCACGAUGCGUAGAGGACCAGAGGUGGUGAUCGGCAACCAGGGGACGGAUACACGGCGCAAAAGCCUACGAGAGGCAGAGGUAGGGAAACUUCGACAUAGAAAGAGAUUCUGGCCGAGCAACGCGGCAUGAGGGAAGAAGGUUGUCGGAUAAUAAAACUCUGUUGUGUGGUAAGCGGUAUCUAACCAGAAAGCCACGGCUAGAUACGUGCCAGCCGCCGCGGUAAUUC
rnacentral:rRNA from 1 species